rnacentral:rRNA from 1 species
AACUUUAUUCCUUCUUCAACCAAGAGCAGAGCUUAAUAUAGACCAAGCAUCUCCCCCAUAACGGAAACACGCCCGUGCAAAUCGGGCUGACUCUACAAGCCCAACAGCUAGCCCAACCCCCCAAAACAACCACCCACCAUAACUAACCCCAAAGACACGCACCCCCACAAAACAAAUCAUUUUUCCCCCUAAGUAUAGGCGAUAGAAAAGGAAUUUAGGAGCAAUAGAAAAAGUACCGCAAGGGAACGCCGAAAGAGAAAUGAAA